GUGAAUGUUCCUUGUGCAUUCUGGCCUUUAGCAGCAACCAGUCCUUUGUCCUGUUUUGUGCUUUCAGUCUGCAUUUUACCUUAUCAUAUAUCAAGCUCAAAACUGGUACCUUUUGUCAGCACUGUUUGUCUGCAUUUGCCUUGUACGCUUUGCCCAUCUCUUUGGUUUCUGCCUUUGAAAAUCCCUUUGUGUUAGGCGUGUCUUGGGUCCAGCACCGAGUUGGGUUUUGCAGAGUCCACCUCUCUGACUGGUACAUUGUACUCUGUCCAGCAUGUAACCAGAGUUCCGUAAAAUAUUUGUUUCCUUUUUCCUUUUCUUUUCUUCCUCAACCAGGGUCAAGACUCACCUAAAACCAUGAUCUCUUUUUCUCCCCCAGCUUUACUGAGGUAUAAUUAACAAAAUUUUAACAUCUUUGGUGAUUUGAUAUACGUGUACAUUGUCAGAGGUCAAUCUCCUUAGCCGCAGUUCUGGGUCUCUCUGGACUUAAGUCCCCUCCGGACCCUCUGGCUUAGCUGGAGUCCCAUUUUCAGUCCUGCCCUGUGGUUCUCACCUCCUGGCAGGAUAGGCUCUUCCGCACCACCUUAUCAAUGGUGGACUUGAAGACCACGAUAUGAAAGUGUACAAAUGCAUUCCCUCUUCUGGCUUCACAGAUGAAGUCUCCAAUGUUUGAACCAAGGCCUGGUGUCUCCCAAAAUAUUCUUUAAAACAGAAUUCGGUGCCUUAGGAGGGAGUUAGAGCAUAUAGUCCACAGCUGGAAAGAAGCCUAGACAUCACUGACUUAAACUCUCUCCCCAGGCAUGAAUCUCUUCUACAAUACGCCACAUUUCCUAGUCUCUGCCUUUUUCUGGUCUUGGUGAACUGACACUGUCACCCACACUAUAGGCCUGCAUUUGAAACCCAGCAAAACCAUAUAUUAGCUCUAUGAUGUUUGGAACUUACAUAAGAGCUGAGCCUCCAUUUUUUAUCUACAGAAUGGAGACAAAGCAAAACUCAGAGUGCUGUUAAGAGGACCAAGCAGGGUCACAGAUUCAAAGACUGGGCAGGAAAUGUGAAGGACCAGGCAAGUAGCUAAUAGAACCCCCCAAGGGUAUGGCAAUAGGAGUGACGAGGAGAAUCCAUUCCCUUGUACGAAGAGAAGUCUCUACUGGGCUCCUGCAGAUUGGAAACCUGCCUGCAGCAACAUGGGCCAAAUAAUCUCACCAGAUCUUUCCACUGUUCUAGAAGAGCAGCAAUCUGGCUUUCUAAUGUGAAAUUUCCCAAUGAUUCAAUGUGAGCGAGACACAGCGAGAGAGGGAACACAAGCAGGGGGAAUGAGAGAUGAAGAAGCAGGCUUCCUGCUGAGCAGGGAGCCCGAUGUGGGGCUCGAUCCCAGCGCCCUGGGAUCAUGACCCGAGCCGAAGGACUGAGCCACCCAGGCGCCCCUCAAGAGAUGGAGGUCCGCCUACGUCAGAAGAUUACAUCUGAGAGACCAGCAAGUGCAAAGCCACACAUUAACGCUAGCCUGCAGCAGAAGCCAAAGUUUAUGCUGUCAGUUCUGGCCAGCUGUAUAAUUCAAUUUUUCCAAUGAAGCAGGAGCCUGGCCCUCACAAGCACGAAACCAAUACUGCAUUUCACAGAAGGCGAUUUGGCCACAAUAAAUAAAUCCACGCUCU